rnacentral:rRNA from 1 species
UACGUAGGGUACGAGCGUUGUCCGGAAUUAUUGGGCGUAAAGGGCUCGUAGGCGGUUUGUCGCGUCGGGAGUGAAAUCCACUGGCUUAACUGGUGGCUUGCUUUCGAUACGGGCAGACUGGAGGUAUGCAGGGAGAACGGAAUUCCUGGUGUAGCGGUGAAAUGCGCAGAUAUCAGGAGGAACACCGUGGCGAAGGCGGUCUCUG